AUUCAACUCUCGUCUCCUGGCCAGCCGCGUCAUACGCUGCGUCAGACGCUGCGCACACGCAAGCAGACUUGCUUUGGGGAAGAAGCAGGCUACCGGUGAUUGACCGGAGUGUAUGAGGAGAACAGAGGUUGGCCCAAACACAAAGAGAGGAGCUGCCAAGCCAGUGCUGUCAGUCACCAAAGUGCAUCUGGCAGCAAGCGAGAUGAAUGUCCACACUAUUGAUCACUAUUAGAAAUGGAUCGGUUACGGGCUUUGUAACACCACUUCGGGAUCAGGCAGACACAGGUGUGUACAUGGGGGGAAGCCCUCUCAAAAGGAUGUGGUGUUUAGUAGGGGCAUCCAGCUCUUUGUAGAAGGUUUGAACCCUUCUGAUCCAUCUGUACUCAUCCUCUCCUCAUUCGGGAGUGACCCUGGUGCUUCACACACACCUAUGCUGGUGUGUGUCCUUAGUGGUUU